rnacentral:rRNA from 1 species
UACGUAGGGGGCAAGCGUUGUCCGGAAUUAUUGGGCGUAAAGAGCGUGUAGGCGGCCAGAUAAGUCCGCUGUGAAAUCUCGAGGCUCAACUUCGAGCUGUCGGUGGAAACUAUCUGGCUAGAGUCCGGAAGAGGAGAAUGGAAUUCCUGGUGUAGCGGUGAAAUGCGAAGAUAUCAGGAGGAACACCGGUGGCGAAGGCGGAUCUCUGGGCCGAUACUGACGCUGAGGAGCGAAAGCGUGGGGAGCGAACAGG